rnacentral:rRNA from 1 species
GACAGAGGUGCCGAGCGUUAGGCGGAAUCACUGGGCUUAAAGCGUGUGUAGGCGGACUUCUAAGUACCUUGUGAAAUCCCACGGCUCAACCGUGGAACUGCUCGGUAUACUGGUUGUCUUGAGCCACUUAGGGGCAGUCGGAACAGACGGUGGAGCGGUGAAAUGCGUAGAUAUCGAGAGGAACACCUGCGGCGAAGGCGGGUUGCUGGGCUGAUACUGACGCUGAGGCGCGAAAGCCAGGGGAGCAAACGGG